ensembl:miRNA predicted gene, 26338
CUUGCUGUGUAGCCAAGGAUAACCUGCCUCCCAUAUGUUGGGGUUACAUGCCUGUGCCGCUGCUCUCACUGUGACCCUUUUAAAGGACGCAGUUCAGUCCUUGGCUCACU